GUGUUCUGAGCAGAGGAGGGAAGGCUGUCACCUCCCUUGAGCUGCAUGUAAGACCUCUCUUGGUGCACCACAAGAUGGCAUUUGAGGUUUCUUUUAUUUCUUUUUCUUCAUUUUUUUU
rnacentral:ncRNA from 1 species